GCUGAAGAAGGACAGAACUGUGGAAGUGUCACCAUGGCUGUUGGGUGCCUUGAGCUGAGGCCCGUUGGUUCCUGGUUGUUUUGGUUAACAAGGCAGAAGUUCCACAGCAACCUUUCUUACUCACAAUGAAAUGCUCCAGGAGAUGGAAUGCUGUAUUGUGAAAACCAGCAAAUAUGAAAACCAUUUGUGAAAGGACUCUGCAGAAGGAGAGAUGCUGCAACCCUCUGACCAUCUUUGUGGUGACUCCUCUGGACUCACUCCAGCAGAUCUGUGUGCUUCUUAUGUUGGAAACCCCAGAGCUGGUUGGCACAGUGCUGCAGCACAGAGUGCAUUAUCACUGACAUGGAACACAAAUGGACUUCAGUCAAGUUCCAACUUUAAGCACUGGGUCUG